rnacentral:rRNA from 1 species
AGCGAACGCUGGCGGCAGGCCUAACACAUGCAAGUCGAACGGAUCCUUCGGGAUUAGUGGCGGACGGGUGAGUAACACGUGGGAACGUGCCCUUUGGUUCGGAACAAGUCAGGGAAACUUGAGCUAAUACCGGAUGUGCCCUUCGGGGGAAAGAUUUAUCGCCAUUGGAGCGGCCCGCGUCUGAUUAGCUAGUUGGUGAGGUAAAGGCUCACCAAGGCGACGAUCAGUAGCUGGUCUGAGAGGAUGAUCAGCCACAUUGGGACUGAGACACGGCCCAAACUCCUACGGGAGGCAGCAGUGGGGAAUCUUGCGCAAUGGGCGAAAGCCUGACGCAGCCAUGCCGCGUGAAUGAUGAAGGUCUUAGGAUUGUAAAAUUCUUUCACCGGGGAUGAUAAUGACGGUACCCGGAGAAGAAGCCCCGGCUAACUACGUGCCAGCCGCCGCUGUAA